GGGUGUUGCAAUGGGCCCAACUAGGUGGUGAAGGAGUUCAACUCCCUUGGCUUCUUAUUCUUGAGGCGCGGGUGGAAGUCAUUCGCCCUCGCCUAAGGCCCGUGGGACGAGCACGUCCCCCACUUCAAAUUUGACGGGGCCGCCACGCUUGGGCUGCUGCAUGGAGGACAAUAGUGGCGGCAGCAGCGGCUCCUCCAGUACUGAUGACAGCGGCAACAACCCCUUCUCCGAUGGCGGCGGGGGUGACAGUGACUCUGACGGCUCCCUGGGCACCCGCAUGAAGGAGGAGGUGGAUUCUGACUGAGCGCGCGCGCCACCGACGCGGGAGUCUCCAGCCUGGGUGCUUCGGGGUCCCGUCCUUCUUUUCUUACGCCAUACUCCUUUCUUGAAAUGCAACACACUGGUCCCGUGGGGCGUGUAAGAAGGAUUAUGUACCCCAAACCAUGAAUAGGAGGCUGUUUUGAUUCAAAAUGAACUUCUCCCUCGUAUCUCCUGCUAAUUUUGGAUCCAGCCCCUGAGCGCGG
rnacentral:lncRNA from 1 species